rnacentral:rRNA from 1 species
UACGUAGGGGGCAAGCGUUGUCCGGAAUUAUUGGGCGUAAAGAGCGUGUAGGCGGCCAGAUAAGUCCGCUGUGAAAUCUCGAGGCUCAACUUCGAGCUGUCGGUGGAAACUAUCUGGCUAGAGUCCGGAAGAGGAGAAUGGAAUUCCUGGUGUAGCGGUGAAAUGCGCAGAUAUCAGGAAGAACACCGAUUGCGAAGGCAGCUCGCUGGGACGUCACUGACGCUGAGACGCGAAAGCGUGGGGAGCAAACAGG